CAAUUGUCCAAACCAGACCUUCAGAUAAUUGUGAACAUUUUGAAAUUGUGAAAAUCUCUAAUUGUGAACAUUCUCCAAUCUGCUUGGGACGUGGUUUUGGAUUGGUCUCAGUUCCUGAAAUCAAAGGGCUCAAGCGCAGAUCAGGAGUCUCAGGGGCAACUUCCUCCUAAAAUCGGUGGCUCUGGAGUUGACGCUGCUUCCUUCCUCUGGGAUGCUCCGGCGAGGUGCCCACUAAUCCGAUGCGGCUUCGCCCUUUCAAGUCGGCGGAAGGCCUGCUGCCCGGCUGCGCUGGGUUUCCCAGCUCUGGCGAGGACACGCCUGGAGCGGCCUGCCCCCAGCAGCCGGAGGCUCAGGUGAGGGGCCGGGGGUCCCCCGCUGCGGCUCCAGGGUCCUUGGCUGCCGCCCGCAGCCGUCCAUGCCCCCGUCUCUGGGGAGAUGUGGCUGCCCCGCCCACUCUGCAGCUCACCUGUUGUUCUGUCCGGGUCUCUCAUUCCCCAUCCUGUCUCGCCGCUAAUCAGAUGCUGGUGUGACGCUUAGUGAAAUACAGUUGGGCCGUAUAAAGCCAGUG
ensembl:lncRNA